GGUCUGCUCCCAGGUGGACAAAGCCCUGACCCAGCCACGGGCUGCUUCUUGACUGGGCCGCCGGGGUACUCCAUCACCUUGCUCUGUUCUGGAUACUCGCUCCAGGACAAAUUUGAAUUCACCGUGUUUGCAGGUCGACCACAUAAGCACUGGCCUUUCCUGGAGACUGCCUGAACUAUCUUGAAAUUGUGACACCCAGAGGGAGUCACAGCCCCAAGAUGCAAGUUUGAGGAACUCAGCAGCCCUGGAGCAACCUUUCCGUUCCACCACAAAGGAAAGCUUGAGGACAUGCGUCUGCUCUGGAACUCCCGCCUCAGGAUCUGAGAUGCACGGUCUGGAAAAGAUGUCUCAUCAGCCAUUGGCUCCCUCAAGCUAUCUUCCAGAUCAUUCAGAGCAUAAGGAUGGGCAUGUGAGCGGGCUGGGCUUUGACACGGCCCCCUGCCGCUGGAGGGUGGAGGACCGCUUCAGCUCUUAGCCGGGUAUCUGUGGGAAGCUUACAAGCCACCCAGAAGAGAAAAAAAAGGCUCCCUCAACUGUUCCCUGAUCGCUUCAUCGUGGAUGUCAGACCAAAUUCCUUUCUCACAGGACAUCUCGGUACAUCCGUGUUCUCAAGCGGAAAGGACAUUUUGCUUUGCAGUUGGCAGGAUUGGUAGCUCUCCGGGUGUCUGCAGCAGAGCUGUCUGUCUGCUUUUGCCCUGGGUUUCGCUGAUGUCUGCAUGCGGGCUUCUGAAUGAUCACCGCUUUACUUUCUAUGGAUACGAUCUCUGCUCCAUUGGGAAUUGCUUUUACAAAUAAAUGUCUUUGUUCAACCUUA